rnacentral:misc_RNA from 1 species
GGAUUUUUUUUUUUUUAAAAAAAAGAGGAUUGACAACAGGCUAUAUGUGGUGGAUUGAAAAAGGUUGGAUUUCUAUCUAGAGGUUAUAGGCUUUCACACUUAGAUUUUGAAUCAGGUUAGGCUUGGUGGAGUUCUUUGUCAAUUUUGAGUAGGCAAUGGUAUAUAAUUUAGGGGUGUGUGUGGUUUUUGGGUGUUUUGAAUCGAAUCGAAGAACCGUACUAACCCAAUCAGAACCGUACCAAACCAAAUUUAUUUUAUUGUUUUGGUUUUUCACUAGUUAAA